UACGUAGGGACCGAGCGUUGUCCGGAAUCAUUGGGCGUAAAGGGUGCGUAGGCGGUCGGGUAAGUCUGGCGUGAAAUCUCCAAGCCUAACUUGGAAACUGCGUUGGAUACUAUCCGGCUCGAGGAAUGGAGGGGAGACUGGAAUACUUGGUGUAGCAGUGAAAUGCGUAGAUAUCAAGUGGAACACCAGUGGCGAAGGCGAGUCUCUGGACAUUUCCUGACGCUGAGGCACGAAAGCCAGGGGAGCAAACGGG
rnacentral:rRNA from 1 species